rnacentral:rRNA from 1 species
GAGAGUUUGAUCCUGGCUCAGAAUGAACGCUGGCGGCGUGCUUAAUACAUGCAAGUCGAACGAGAAAGCCCUUCGGGGUGAGUACAGUGGCGAACAGGUGCGUAACACGUGGGAAUCGGCCUUUUAGUGAAGGAUACCUCCGAGAAAUCGGGGCUAAUACUGCAUAUUUCCCUUCGGGGAUAAAGACGGCCUCUUGCUGUCGCUAAAAGAUGAGCCCGCGGGCUAUUAGCUUGUUGGUAAGGUAAAAGCUUACCAAGGCGAUGAUGGCUAGCCGACCUGAGAGGGUGGUCGGCCACACUGGGACUGAGAUACGGCCCAGACUCCUACGGGAGGCAGCAGUAGGGAAUAUUGCACAAUGGGCGAAAGCCUGAUGCAGCGACGCCGCGUGGAGGAUGAAGGUCUUCGGAUUGUAAACUUCUGUUAAGUGGGAAGAAAUGUUUGUGGUUAAUACCCGCAGAAGAUGACGGUACCACUAGAGAAAGCUCCGGCUAACUUCGUGCCAGCAGCCGCGGUAAUACGAAGGGAGCUAGCGUUAUUCGGAAUUACUGGGCGUAAAGAGCGUGUGGGCGGUUGAUUAAGUCAGUUGUUAAAUUCCUCGGCUUAACUGAGGGUCGGCAGUUGAUACUGGUCAGCUAGAGGGCAAGAGAGAGAAGUAGAAUUCUCGGAGUAGCGGUAAAAUGCAUAGAUCUCGAGAGGAAUACCGGUUGCGAAGGCGGCUUCUUGGCUUGUCCCUAACGCUAAAGCGCGAAAGCGUGGGGAGCAAACAGAAUUAGAUACCCUGGUAGUCCACGCCGUAAACGAUGAUCACUAGAUGUAGGUUUUGUUUAACAAGACCUGUGUCGAAGCUAACGCGUUAAGCGAUCCGCCUGGGGAGUACGGUCGCAAGAUUAAAACUCAAAGGAAUUGACGGGGGUCCGCACAAGCGGUGGAACAUGUGGUUUAAUUCGACACUACGCGAGGAACCUUACCUAGGCUUGACAUGUAAUCGCUAGUCGUAGAGAUAUGAUUUUCCAAGUUUACUUGGACGGUUACACAGGUGCUGCAUGGCUGUCGUCAGCUCGUGUCGUGAGAUGUUGGGUUAAGUCCUUUAACGAGCGCAACCCUUGCCAUCAGUUGCAAUCUCCUUGUGGGAGCACUCUGGUGGGACUGCCUAGGAAACUAGGAGGAAGGUGGGGAUGACGUCAAGUCCUCAUGGCCUUUAUGCCCAGGGCUACACACGUGUUACAAUGGUUAGUACAAAGAGAAGCAAUCCUGUGAAGGGGAGCGGAUCUCAUAAAGCUAAUCUAAGUUCGGAUUGAAGUCUGCAAUUCGACUUCAUGAAGUUGAAAUCGCUAGUAAUCGCGUAUCAGAACGACACGGUGAAUACGUUCUCGGACCUUGUACACACCGCCCGUCACACCACGAAAGUUGUUUAUACCCGAAAUUGUCUUAGCUAACUCGUUAGAGGGGCGGACAAUUAAGGUGUGGGCGAUGAUUGGGGUGAAGUCGUAACAAGGUAGCCGUA